AUUGAACGCUGGCGGCAGGCCUAACACAUGCAAGUCGAGCGGAUGCAGGGAGCUUGCUGCUGGAUUCAUCAGCGGACGGGUGCGUGAUGCCUAUGAAUCUGCCACUUCGUGGGGGAUAACGUUCGGAACCGGGCGCUAAUACCGCAUCCGUCCUGAGGGAGAAAGUCGAGGAUCUUCAGCCCCCACGCUCUCACCUUAGCCUAGGUCGGAUUAGCUAGUUGGAGGGGUAAAGGCCUCCCCAGGCGACGCUCCGUAACUGGUCUGAGAGGAUGAUCAGUCACACUGGAACUGAGACACGGUCCAGACUCCUACGGGAGGCAGCAGUGGGGAAUAUUGGACAAUGGGCGAAAGCCUGAUGCAGCCAUGCCGCGUGUGUGAAGAAGGUCUUCGGAUUGUAAAGUACUUUAAGUGGGGAGGAAGGGAAGUAAGUUAAUACCUUGCUGUAUUGACGUUACCAGCAGAAGAAGCACCGGCUAACUUCGUG
rnacentral:rRNA from 1 species